AUUUGUAAAUGGUUUCAAAAAAGUCGCAAAAAUACUUCAAAGAGUUAACAGCGAAUGAACCGCAAAGGUCUUUCACUGGGCGGGUGUUAUGAAUGAAUGAAUGAAUGAAUGAUUUAUUUUAUUUCAGACAACAAUAAGUCCAUAUGUGUACAUAGUAUCAUUGAAACAUACUCAAAAUUAACAAAGCCAAUAAAAUAAAAAAGAUACAUUUAUUAAAAGUAAUUAUCCGUUGAAUACAUUUCAAAUAUUCCAUUCAACUGAUACUUACUUCGAACCAACCAUUAUUAUUAUUAUUAUUGUUUUUUUUAAUUUUUGAAGUGAAACUUCCUUAUCGGCGUUGGAAAAAAAUUUACCGUCACAUUUUUCGGUUACGCGUCACAUUUUUCCGUUACGCGCCAUCUGUUUUGUAUUCAUGUCUAUGAUAAUAAAAUCCUUUUGUUUAAACUUUAUCUAAUUUAACUUUUUUGUAUUCAUGUCUAUGAUAAUAAAAUCCUUUUGUUUAAACUUUAUCUAAUUUAACUUUAUUUAACCAAUUUCUAGAAAGUUGCAUGUAGAUCAUUUUUCGAAAAAUAAGGCCAUAAAUAAGUUUCACUUCUUACGUGUGUACACUAGUACACGCACACAUUUUUAUUUUCUCAGCUUAUGCUGGUAGUACUUUAGUGACAUUUACGGACUCGGUCAAGUAAAUGUCACGGUUUCUUGGGGUUGGCUAACUAUUGCAUUAUGUGGUUGAUCAUAUUCUAUUUGCAGAAACUUUCGUACGAUUCUGCACGUGUUUAAUAUAGCAGCUUUUUGAAGAAGUAUGUAGGUGCUAGGUUUUAGGUCAAGGAGCUUCAAACCAUGAUGUAUAUGUUUUGGAAUAACACCAGUUGUGGACAAUACUAGCGGGACAAUGUAUACUUUUUGUUGUUUCCAGAUUCUUAAAACUUCAUCCCUAAGACAUAAGGCGCCCGCUGCGAUGUUCGCAAGUUUUCCAUCGAAUAAUAUCAAAAAUAUGGCUUUGGUAAAAACGGUGUGCGGUGAAAUGUUAACUAAGAAUCACAAACCAGACCUCACACUGCAAAAAGAGUCAAGAUGAAAUUACGGAAGAUCUUGUAUAUUUAUUUAUUUUUUGGGAUAUUAAUUAGCUGAUUGACUUUACAUAUUUUGAUGGAUUUAAAUAUAAGGUGUUAUUCAAAUUUUCUCAUUUA